UACGUAGGGUGCGAGCGUUGUCCGGAAUUACUGGGCGUAAAGAGCUCGUAGGUGGUUUGUCGCGUUGUCCGUGAAAACUCACAACUCAAUUGUGGGCGUGCGGGCGAUACGGGCAGACUGGAGUACUGCAGGGGAGACUGGAAUUCCUGGUGUAGCGGUGGAAUGCGCAGAUAUCAGGAGGAACACCGAUGGCGAAGGCGGGUCUCUGGGCAGUAACUGACGCUGAGAAGCGAAAGCGUGGGGAGCGAACAGG
rnacentral:rRNA from 1 species